GGGAAGAAGAAAAAGCAUGGAGGCAAACAUUGUUUCUUAGUGGGAGAUGACCCAACAAGAAGCUUUUCUGAACUUUGAGGAAGACACAUGACCCAGUAGUCUGAGGAAAAAGUUGGGCGCCAGGAACUCCUGGACUCUAAUCCCAGCUCUGACACUCCCUUCUCUGGCCCCAGG